UACGUAGGGUGCUAGCGUUGUCCGGAAUCAUUGGGCGUAAAGCGCGUGUAGGCGGUCCGGUAAGUCCGCUGUGAAAGUCGGGGGCUCAACCCUCGGAUGCCGGUGGAUACUGUCGGGCUUGAGUACGGAAGAGGCGAGUGGAAUUCCUGGUGUAGCGGUGAAAUGCGCAGAUAUCAGGAGGAACACCAAUUGCGAAGGCAGCCCGCUGGGACGUUACUGACGCUGAGACGCGAAAGCGUGGGGAGCAAACAGG
rnacentral:rRNA from 1 species